rnacentral:tRNA from 2 species
AGAAAUAUGUCUGAUAAAAGAGUUACUUUGAUAGAGUAAAUAAUGGAGACCUAUCCCUCCUAUUUCUA